rnacentral:rRNA from 1 species
UACGGAGGGUGCAAGCGUUAAUCGGAAUUACUGGGCGUAAAGCGCGCGUAGGCGGUUGGGUAAGUCAGAUGUGAAAGCCCCGGGCUUAACCUGGGAACUGCAUUUGAUACUGUCUGACUCGAGUAUGGUAGAGGGGGGUGGAAUUCCCGGAGUAGCGGUGAAAUGCGUAGAGAUCGGGAGGAACACCAGUGGCGAAGGCGGCCCCCUGGACCAAUACUGACGCUGAGGUGCGAAAGCGUGGGGAGCAAACAGG